UCCGGCUUAACGCCGGCAGUCCCCCCAGAGUCCCCGGCCGAACCGCUGGCAACUAAUGGUAGGGGUCGCGCUCGUUGCGGGACUUAACCCAACACCUCACGGCACGAGCUGACGACAGCCAUGCAGCACCUAGUUUCGCGCCCUUGCGGGAAGGAUCCUUUCAGAUCCGGUCGCUAACUUUCAAGCCCUGGUAAGGUUCCUCGCGUAUCAUCGAAUUAAACCACAUGCUCCUCCGCUUGUGCGGGCCCCCGUCAAUUCCUUUGAGUUUCACCGUUGCCGGCGUACUCCCCAAGUGGAUUACUUAUCGCUUUUGCUAAGCCACUGAAGGUUGCCCUCCAGCAGCGAGUAAUCAUCGUUUACAGUGCGGACUAC
rnacentral:misc_RNA from 1 species